GGGGGUGACUGGAUUCGACAAGGUGAGUUUGCGGUGGGCAGCAAGCCGUGGUCUCCUCGCCACGUAAAACAGGGGUAACGUCAAAUUGAAUUGACAACACUCUUACUUUUGAGCCUCGCAUGGCUCUCGCUGCUUAAUUUAGUUCAGCGCGUCUAACUGGGAUUUUCUCCUGUUCUCAGGGUGACGUCAUUUAGGGAGAUGCUUGUAAGGACGUAGUUGGUAUGCCUUACAAAAAGAUUGAACCAACUGGAGCACCAAACGCCCGUUACUAAGUGUGCGGUACUUGAGAUGUAAUUAGUAACUGAGCUUGGAGACACCUGCCUAGGAUUUGCUUUGGACCGGAGUUCGAUUCUCCGCACCUCCACCA
rnacentral:tmRNA from 1 species